rnacentral:rRNA from 1 species
CCUACGGGAGGCAGCAGUAGGGAAUCUUCCACAAUGGGCGAAAGCCUGAUGGAGCAACGCCGCGUGAGUGAUGAAGGCCUUCGGGUUGUAAAACUCUGUCAUUCGGGACGAACCGGAGUCUGAGGAAAUGCAGACUCUCUGACGGUACCGGAGGAGGAAGCCCCGGCUAACUACGUGCCAGCAGCCGCGGUAAUACGUAGGGGGCAAGCGUUGUCCGGAUUCACUGGGCGUAAAGCGCGCGCAGGCGGUGAUGUAAGUCUGAGGUGAAAACCCGAAGCUCAACUUCGGGACUGCCUUGGAUACUGCGUCACUUGAGGAUAGGAGAGGCAAGGGGAAUUCCACGUGUAGCGGUGAAAUGCGUAGAGAUGUGGAGGAACACCUGUGGCGAAGGCGCCUUGCUGGCCUAUUUCUGACGCUGAGGCGCGAAAGCGUGGGGAGCAAACAGGAUUAGAUACCCUGGUAGUCCACGCUGUAAACGAUGAGUGCUAGGUGUAGGUGGGCUCAUACCCAUCUGUGCCGGAGCUAACGCAUUAAGCACUCCGCCUUGGGAGUACGGUCGCAAGACUGAAACUCAAAGGAAUUGACGG